rnacentral:lncRNA from 1 species
CCUUCUGGGAUGCCAGAGCAGACUGGAUCUAGCGAAGUUCAGGAGCUACGUGCUCCGGUGAGCGCGUUGGUUGAAGUUAAAUGAUAUUUGUGCGGAAGAUGCGCGAAUGGAUUAGUAAGAAUGAAGGAUAAGCGACUGAUAUUGAGCUUAAGUGGUUAAUCAAUUGUUUAAUUUCUUUAUACAUGUAUCCGUUGUUGUUGAGCCUUGGGCGAACAGAGGAGGUGCUGUUCGUUCGGCGUCUGUGUACGUGCCCGGAUCGACCAAAUUGGCGAUAGCGGGGCGUGACAAUUUUAGU